GACGAACGCUGGCGGCGUGCUUAACACAUGCAAGUCGAACGAAGAGCGAUGGAAGCUUGCUUCUAUCAAUCUUAGUGGCGAACGGGUGAGUAACGCGUAAUCAACCUGCCCUUCAGAGGGGGACAACAGUUGGAAACGACUGCUAAUACCGCAUACGAUCUAAACUCGGCAUCGAGGAUAGAUGAAAGGUGGCCUCUACAUGUAAGCUAUCACUGAAGGAGGGGAUUGCGUCUGAUUAGCUAGUGGGGGGGGUACCGGCCCACCAAGGCGAUGAUCAGUAGCCGGUCUGAGAGGAUGAACGGCCACAUUGGGACUGAGACACGGCCCAGACUCCUACGGGAGGCAGCAGUGGGGAAUCUUCCGCAAUGGACGAAAGUCUGACGGAGCAACGCCGCGUGAGUGAUGACGGCCUUCGGGUUGUAAAGCUCUGUUAAUCGGGACGAAAGGCCUUCUUGCGAAUAGUGAGAAGGAUUGACGGUACCGGAAUAGAAAGCCACGGCUAACUACGUG
rnacentral:rRNA from 1 species